rnacentral:rRNA from 1 species
UUGGCAAGGGGGACUAAGUCGUAACAAGGUAGCCGUACCGGAAGGUGUGGCUGGAUCACCUCCUUUCUAAGGAGA